CUCGCCGGCCACCCAGCUCCGGGCACCGCCGGGGCCCCUCUGACCACCCAACGGGCGCUCUGUGCUCCGCGGGAGCUCCCGUCUGUCUCUGUGGUCCGUGGGAGGUCCUGUCUGCCCACCCAACGGGUGCUCUGUGGUCCGUGGGAGGUCCUGUCUGCCCACCCAACAGGUGCUCUGUGGUCCGUGGGAGGUCCACCCUUCUCUGUGGCCCUGAGGAGGUCCUCUCUGUGGUCUGUGGGAUGUCCCAUCCAUCCAUCCCUGUGGUCCAUGAGAGGUUCCACAUGUCUCUGUGGCCCCCAGGAGGUCCUCUCGUGUCUCUGUGUUCCAUGGGAGGUCCUGUCUGCCCACCCAGUGGGCUCUGUGGUCUCUGGGAGGUCUUCUCUGUCCACCCAACGGGUUGCUCUGUGGUCCAUGAGAAGUUCCCCCCAUCUCUAUGGUCCCCAAGAGGUCCUCUGUCUGUCUCUGUGGUCCAUGAGAGGUCCCCUCUGUCCACCCAGCAGGGUUCUCUGUGGUCCAUGGGAGGUCUCAUCUGUCUCUGUGAUCCAUGAGAUAGAUGAUCCAUGUCUCUAUGACCCCCAGGAGGUCCUCUCUGUCCACCCAACAGGGUUCUCUAUGGCCCCUGGGAGGUCCCACCCAUCUCUAUGAUCUCUGAGAGGUCCCUCCCAUCUCUAUGGUCCGUGGGAGGUCCUUCCUGUCCACCCAACAGGGUGCUCUGUGCUCCACAGGGUGUUCUCCACCCACCCAUCCCCGCUCUCCGUGGCCGUGGGAGCCCCUCUCCACCCACCCAGGCUCCCAUGGAGCCCCCUGACUCCAGGGGGGGUUAUUUUGGUGACCAUUGCCAAAAUCCCAGUGGGGACUCUGGUGCCACCUGUGCCUCUGCCACCUCCUCCUCCCACGGUGGGGAGGCCCAGCACCUGCUCCUCCUCCCCUGCCUUGGGGCCAGUGUCCCCAGGGAUGGAAAUGGGGACAUGGGGGGACAAUUUGGGGUGUCACAAAGGGGGGUGCAGGGACCAUUCCCCCCCCCAGGGGCCGGGAGCUCAGGAGGGAUUAAAGCUGGGCUGGGUGCAGGAUCCGGGACAGCAGAUUAAUCCAGGGCUGGGGGGGACACAGGGGGGCUCUGCCCUGCCCUGACUCCCUAAGCCCAAAGCCGUUUUUUAAUUGAAACUCCGAUUCCUCAUUAAGUCCCUCAUUAAGAGCAUCCUGCACCCCCUCCCUCCUCCCAGUGCCGCUGCCAAGGGGGGGCUCCCCCCUCGCUGUUCCCCCCCUCUCGCUGUUGCCCCCCCAAGCCCCCCUGGCCGGGCGGUGCCAACCCCGGCUGCAUUUUUCCGGGCUGCGUAAUUCCUCACCAUCGGCUUUUAUGGGCAGUGCUGGAGCCGGGGAGGAGCCUCCGGGAGCAGGAUCCGGCCCCACCAGUGCCCAGGUGCCCCCCCCCCGGGGUGGCAGCAGGGUCAGGACCCCCCCUCGCUGCUCCCCACGCCCCGCUCCGUGUCCCCAGUUCGGGGCUGUCCUUGUCCCCGGGGUGGGAACCGGAGAUCGCAUCCUGGGAGUGCCCCCCGUGAUGGGCACAACGGCAAGAAACGCCUCCCACCCCC